CGGCCGGAACUCCAUGGUGACUGCCGGUGAUAAACCGGAGGAAGGUGGGGAGGACGUCAAGUCAUCAUGGCCCUUACGAGUAGGGCUACACACGUGCUACAAUGGCGCAUACAGAGGGCGGCCAACUUGCGAAAGUGAGCGAAUCCCAAAAAGUGCGUCGUAGUCCGGAUUGGAGUCUGCAACUCGACUCCAUGAAGUCGGAAUCGCUAGUAAUCGUGGAUCAGAAUGCCACGGUGAAUACGUUCCCGGGCCUUGUACACACCGCCCGUCACACCAUGGGAGUGGGCUGCAAAAGAAGUGGGUAGUUUAACCUUCGGGAGGACGCUCACCACUUUGUGGUUCAUGACUGGGGUGAAGUCGUAACAAGGUAGCCG
rnacentral:rRNA from 1 species